AGUCACUAGAUAAACCUUUGCAGCUUGAAAAAAAAAGGAGGUCAAAGAAGAGGCUAACAGAAGGAAUAAUGGUGCCCCUUCCCAGAAUACCAGUUGAUGCCAUCAGCGUAAGAGAGUACUUCUGCAACAUGCCUGCUACAGAAUUCGGUCAUGGAUUCUCCUGUAAACCUGCAGGUAUGAGUGCAAAACAUUACAAUUAUUUUUGGAAAAUACACUAUAGCAGUGAUGUUGAAUGUUUUUCUGCCUGAGUACCAAAAGGAUGCACGUGUAUGCAUGCCCACCCCCAUAAUGCAAUGCCCACCCACCCCAGCGCAUGAGUGCACACACACCCCAAGCUCUCCCCACGCAUGAACACAGACCUCACUGAAGCCUCCGGACUUCCAGUAGGUCUGUUGUGUGGUAUUUCACCAUCCACAGGCUCCGGAGGCUUUUCUGAAGCCUGAUGAGGGCGAAAACACCCUCCCGCUGCCCUCCGGAUGGCUGAAAAUCAGCUGGCCAGCGCUGAUUUAUAGUUUAAGUUUAUAAACAUUAAUUAAGCGAUUUUCAGAUAUAACAAUUAUACUGAUUGAAAUAUCCACAGCUGUACUUUACAAAUUUGUAGAUCUAUGUCUGUGAUGGCAAACCUAUGGCACAAGUGCCCGAAGUGGCACUCGGAGCCAUGUCACCUGGCACGUGUGACAUCGCCCAUUUCUCUUCCAGGUUUCUGGCAUACAUGUGCCUGCAAUGAUCAGGUGGCCUUUGUGAGUGCGGCAGUGUUGGAAACUGGAAGAGCUGGUCUUCUGUUUUCCGGCGUGAGCAUGUGCACGGGCCAGAUCGUCGCAUGUGCAUGUGUGCUAUAACCGGAAGACUUGCUGACUGGUAUGGUGGAAGUUCAUUUUCUGGCAAGCGCAUGUCCCCUGGGCAGCUCCUCUUCCAGGUCACAGCCCCGAUGAAUGCGUGCAUGUGCGCUCCCUUUUUGGCACUUGGUUCCAAAAAUGUUCGCCAUCAAUGACAUAGUACUCUAGUAGAAACUAAAGAUAACAUGGUUAAAUGUCAUAACUGCAUCUGUGUUUCCCUGGAUAUUUUUCCAGAACUCAUGAGAAAGCAUCACACAUCAAACUGAAAAAAAAAUACUGUAC